rnacentral:rRNA from 1 species
UUGAAGUUCAGGUAACACUGAAUGGAGGACCGAACCGACUUACGUUGAAAAGUGAGCGGAUGAACUGAGGGUAGCGGAGAAAUUCCAAUCGAACCUGGAGAUAGCUGGUUCUCUCCGAAAUAGCUUUAGGGCUAGCCUCAAGUGAUGAUUAUUGGAGGUAGAGCACUGUUUGGACGAGGGGCCCCUCUCGGGUUACCGAAUUCAGACAAACUCCGAAUGCCAAUUAAUUUAACUUGGGAGUCAGAACAUGGGUGAUAAGGUCCGUGUUCGAAAGGGAAACAGCCCAGACCACCAGCUAAGGUCCCAAAAUAUAUGUUAAGUGGAAAAGGAUGUGGCGUUGCCCAGACAACUAGGAUGUUGGCUUAGAAGCAGCCAUCAUUUAAAGAGUGCGUAAUAGCUCACUAGUCGAGUGACACUGCGCCGAAAAUGUACCGGGGCUAAACAUAUUACCGAAGCUGUGGAUUGUCCUUUGGACAAUGGUAGGAGAGCGUUCUAAGGGCGUUGAAGCAUGAUCGUAAGGACAUGUGGAGCGCUUAGAAGUGAGAAUGCCGGUGUGAGUAGCGAAAGACGGGUGAGAAUCCCGUCCACCGAUUGACUAAGGUUUCCAGAGGAAGGCUCGUCCGCUCUGGGUUAGUCGGGUCCUAAGCUGAGGCCGACAGGCGUAGGCGAUGGAUAACAGGUUGAUA